rnacentral:rRNA from 1 species
AUUGAACGCUGGCGGCAGGCCUAACACAUGCAAGUCGAGCGGUAGCACAGAGAGCUUGCUCUCGGGUGACGAGCGGCGGACGGGUGAGUAAUGUCUGGGAAACUGCCUGAUGGAGGGGGAUAACUACUGGAAACGGUAGCUAAUACCGCAUAACGUCGCAAGACCAAAGUGGGGGACCUUCGGGCCUCAUGCCAUCAGAUGUGCCCAGAUGGGAUUAGCUGGUAGGUGGGGUAACGGCUCACCUAGGCGACGAUCCCUAGCUGGUCUGAGAGGAUGACCAGCCACACUGGAACUGAGACACGGUCCAGACUCCUACGGGAGGCAGCAGUGGGGAAUAUUGCACAAUGGGCGCAAGCCUGAUGCAGCCAUGCCGCGUGUGUGAAGAAGGCCUUCGGGUUGUAAAGCACUUUCAGCGGGGAGGAAGGCGGUGAGGUUAAUAACCUCACCGAUUGACGUUACCCGCAGAAGAAGCACCGGCUAACUCCGUGCCAGCAGCCGCGGUAAUACGGAGGGUGCAAGCGUUAAUCGGAAUUACUGGGCGUAAAGCGCACGCAGGCGGUCUGUCAAGUCGGAUGUGAAAUCCCCGGGCUCAACCUGGGAACUGCAUUCGAAACUGGCAGGCUAGAGUCUUGUAGAGGGGGGUAGAAUUCCAGGUGUAGCGGUGAAAUGCGUAGAGAUCUGGAGGAAUACCGGUGGCGUAGGCGGCCCCCUGGACAAAGACUGACGCUCAGGUGCGAAAGCGUGGGGAGCAAACAGGAUUAGAUACCCUGGUAGUCCACGCCGUAAACGAUGUCGACUUGGAGGUUGUGCCCUUGAGGCGUGGCUUCCGGAGCUAACGCGUUAAGUCGACCGCCUGGGGAGUACGGCCGCAAGGUUAAAACUCAAAUGAAUUGACGGGGGCCCGCACAAGCGGUGGAGCAUGUGGUUUAAUUCGAUGCAACGCGAAGAACCUUACCUACUCUUGACAUCCAGAGAACUUAGCAGAGAUGCUUUGGUGCCUUCGGGAACUCUGAGACAGGUGCUGCAUGGCUGUCGUCAGCUCGUGUUGUGAAAUGUUGGGUUAAGUCCCGCAACGAGCGCAACCCUUAUCCUUUGUUGCCAGCGGUCCGGCCGGGAACUCAAAGGAGACUGCCAGUGAUAAACUGGAGGAAGGUGGGGAUGACGUCAAGUCAUCAUGGCCCUUACGAGUAGGGCUACACACGUGCUACAAUGGCGCAUACAAAGAGAAGCGACCUCGCGAGAGCAAGCGGACCUCAUAAAGUGCGUCGUAGUCCGGAUUGGAGUCUGCAACUCGACUCCAUGAAGUCGGAAUCGCUAGUAAUCGUAGAUCAGAAUGCUACGGUGAAUACGUUCCCGGGCCUUGUACACACCGCCCGUCACACCAUGGGAGUGGGUUGCAAAAGAAGUAGGUAGCUUAACCUUCGGGAGGGCGCUUACCACUUUGUGAUUCAUGACUGGGGUG